UACAGAGGGGGCAAGCGUUAUUCGGAAUUAUUGGGCGUAAAGGGCGCGUAGGCGGCCUGGCAAGUGGAUGGUGAAAUCCCUCGGCUUAACCGAGGAACUGCCAUCCAGACUGCUUGGCUUGAGACCGGGAGAGGUGAGUGGAAUUCCCAGUGUAGCGGUGAAAUGCGUAGAUAUCUGGAGGAACACCGGUGGCGAAGGCGGCAUCCUGGACCAACACUGACACUGAGGAGCGAAAGCCAGGGGAGCAAACGGG
rnacentral:rRNA from 1 species